rnacentral:tRNA from 1 species
GUGGCCAUGGUGUAGUCUGGUUAGCACCGGAGAUUGUGGAUCUUCGAGGGUGGGUUCAAAUCCCACUGGCCACC